rnacentral:rRNA from 1 species
AAAUUGAAGAGUUUGAUCAUGGCUCAGAUUGAACGCUGGCGGCAGGCCUAACACAUGCAAGUCGAACGGUAACAGGAAGCAGCUUGCUGCUUUGCUGACGAGUGGCGGACGGGUGAGUAAUGUCUGGGAAACUGCCCGAUGGAGGGGGAUAACUACUGGAAACGGUAGCUAAUACCGCAUAACGUCGCAAGACCAAAGAGGGGGACCUUCGGGCCUCUUGCCAUCGGAUGUGCCCAGAUGGGAUUAGCUAGUAGGUGGGGUAAAGGCUCACCUAGGCGACGAUCCCUAGCUGGUCUGAGAGGAUGACCAGCCACACUGGAACUGAGACACGGUCCAGACUCCUACGGGAGGCAGCAGUGGGGAAUAUUGCACAAUGGGCGCAAGCCUGAUGCAGCCAUGCCGCGUGUAUGAAGAAGGCCUUCGGGUUGUAAAGUACUUUCAGCGGGGAGGAAGGGAGUAAAGUUAAUACCUUUGCUCAUUGACGUUACCCGCAGAAGAAGCACCGGCUAACUCCGUGCCAGCAGCCGCGGUAAUACGGAGGGUGCAAGCGUUAAUCGGAAUUACUGGGCGUAAAGCGCACGCAGGCGGUUUGUUAAGUCAGAUGUGAAAUCCCCGGGCUCAACCUGGGAACUGCAUCUGAUACUGGCAAGCUUGAGUCUCGUAGAGGGGGGUAGAAUUCCAGGUGUAGCGGUGAAAUGCGUAGAGAUCUGGAGGAAUACCGGUGGCGAAGGCGGCCCCCUGGACGAAGACUGACGCUCAGGUGCGAAAGCGUGGGGAGCAAACAGGAUUAGAUACCCUGGUAGUCCAUGCCGUAAACGAUGUCGACUUGGAGGUUGUGCCCUUGAGGCGUGGCUUCCGGAGCUAACGCGUUAAGUCGACCGCCUGGGGAGUACGGCCGCAAGGUUAAAACUCAAAUGAAUUGACGGGGGCCCGCACAAGCGGUGGAGCAUGUGGUUUAAUUCGAUGCAACGCGAAGAACCUUACCUGGUCUUGACAUCCACGGAAGUUUUCAGAGAUGAGAAUGUGCCUUCGGGAACCGUGAGACAGGUGCUGCAUGGCUGUCGUCAGCUCGUGUUGUGAAAUGUUGGGUUAAGUCCCGCAACGAGCGCAACCCUUAUCCUUUGUUGCCAGCGGUCCGGCCGGGAACUCAAAGGAGACUGCCAGUGAUAAACUGGAGGAAGGUGGGGAUGACGUCAAGUCAUCAUGGCCCUUACGACCAGGGCUACACACGUGCUACAAUGGCGCAUACAAAGAGAAGCGACCUCGCGAGAGCAAGCGGACCUCAUAAAGUGCGUCGUAGUCCGGAUUGGAGUCUGCAACUCGACUCCAUGAAGUCGGAAUCGCUAGUAAUCGUGGAUCAGAAUGCCACGGUGAAUACGUUCCCGGGCCUUGUACACACCGCCCGUCACACCAUGGGAGUGGGUUGCAAAAGAAGUAGGUAGCUUAACCUUCGGGAGGGCGCUUACCACUUUGUGAUUCAUGACUGGGGUGAAGUCGUAACAAGGUAACCGUAGGGGAACCUGCGGUUGGAUCACCUCCUUA